CACUUUCACUCCUCACGCACUCUUUCAAACCCUGCUCUCGCUCCUGGCUGCCUCCAGAAAAAAGCUGCUGUAAAUUUCAUCAGUUUAUUUGUUUUUUUUUUUACUCUGAACUGAUACAGCAAAAUGAAAGCUCCUGCCAGAGCAACACACAGGAUUCCUUCGCAAACAAAGAAGAGGAUUCGAGCUCACUCCACAUUCAUCUAUAGAGUUCAUAAAGAGGUCAAUCCGGCUGGGAUGAGGAGUCUUGAUCUUAUGGCCAGUCGGCUCAGCUUUCCCAAACCAGUCCUGCUCAGACUGGUGAGCUUAGAGGCAUCCCGGCUCUCAAAAACCAAUAGGCUAAAGGUCGUCACCCUGCAGGAGAUCAAUGCUGCUGUCACGCUUGUACAACGGAGGAUUGGUACAAGAACUGGUGCUGCGUGAAGAGUUGGACUUAAGAUAUACAAGAAUUUUAUGUUUUAUUAAUAAAGAGUUUAUUCAUUUUUAAUCUGUUGCCUUUUAUGCAAGGAUUGCAUGGUGAAGUAUUGACUCCUAGCAGUAAUUUAGAUCUGAGUGUGAAUGUUUUAAACUAAUGUCAAGGUAGACACAAGUUUCUAAUAACAUAUUGGAAUGUUAUCUGGUUUCAUUAGAUUUGGUGCACUUGCAGUGAGGUAAUAUUACCCAUAUUGGCUAACAUGCUCCUGUAGGACACUUGUUCUCUAGCUGCUAGCUCACUUCCUGAUCAAAUCCAAUAAAGUGUGCUCUGCAGUCAAAACAUGCAACUGCCUUAAAAUUAAAAUGUUUGCUGCUCACA